CCUACGGGAGGCAGCAGUGGGGAAUAUUGGACAAUGGGCGAAAGCCUGAUCCAGCAAUGCCGCGUGAGUGAUGAAGGCCUUCGGGUCGUAAAGCUCUUUUACCAGGGAUGAUAAUGACAGUACCUGGAGAAUAAGCUCCGGCUAACUCCGUGCCAGCAGCCGCGGUAAUACGGAGGGAGCUAGCGUUGUUCGGAAUUACUGGGCGUAAAGAGUACGUAGGCGGUUAUUCAAGUCAGAGGUGAAAGCCCGGGGCUCAACCCCGGGAACUGCCUUUGAAACUAGAUAACUAGAGUCUUGGAGAGGUUAGUGGAAUUCCGAGUGUAGAGGUGAAAUUCGUAGAUAUUCGGAAGAACACCAGUGGCGAAGGCGACUAACUGGACAAGUACUGACGCUGAGGUACGAAAGCGUGGGGAGCAAACAGGAUUAGAUACCCUGGUAGUCCACGCCGUAAACGAUGAUAACUAGUUGUUCGGUCACUUGGUGACUGAGUGACGCAGCUAACGCAUUAAGUUAUCCGCCUGGGGAGUACGGUCGCAAGAUUAAAACUCAAAGGAAUUGACGG
rnacentral:rRNA from 1 species